UGCGUAUUACCCUGAAACACAGACCAGGCUAAUGAGGAUGGUUCAGCUGCUACUCAACCUGCAUACAGUGUCUUCAUAAUUAUUACAGAACGUUGUGUUAGUCUGUGGAGUAAUAAUGAAUUCUAUGGGAAACUGGAACAUGUUCUCCCAAAUGACAUGGAGACAGAAUGAUAAGAGCAUGUCCACAGCCAGACUUGGGGACUUGAGUUUCAGAACCCCUGGCUGGGACUGUCUCUUUGGGCUGUUUAUGCUGGAGAAGGUCAUGUUAUUCACUUUGGGGUGGGAGAUGAGAACAUGACGCAGAAAGCGUGUCGUGGCUUCCUUCAACUAAUGGUUCCAAACUCCAAGGGCGCUCACCUUCUCAAAAAGACCAAGAUUGUCAUGCAGCGCAUUGACGACAUAAAGUUGCCUAUAGGAACUUGCAUCAAGGUCAACAACAACAAGCAUAACCUGGAUGCAUCUCCAGAAGAUCGCUGCAACACUUUUCUGCAUCAGGAGUUCAAAUACGACUUGGUGAAUUUCAACAGCGAGCAUUUUGCUACCUUUGUCCGAUACGGCCAGGCCGUGUGUAUCCAGAUUCCCUUUAAGAGAAACUACGAGGCCACCACUCAAACUCUGCAGAUGAUCAUGCAACGCACGGAGACUGAAACUUGAGAUCCCGUUGUGUGCAUCCAUCACCCCGACUUUGUUAACGAGCAAAAUAAAAACUCCAAGACAAAUCCUUCCAGAACAUAUGGUCUGAGAAUGUUUCAUUUUAACAACUCGCGCCGUAAUCAGAACUGUUCAAUGAAAACCGCCGCAAACAAGAAUGUUUCUUUGCUCUUUGUCCUCCCACAACAUUCUUAGCAAUCGCAAUUAAAGGCUAAAUAAAUAAAUAAAUGUAACCCUACCAACAAAACAAACCACAUAACAGUCAGGCAACUAUGUGUCUUCUUGUUUAUUGAGACUUCAGGAAUGUCAAUAAGAGCGUUUCUAUACAGGAGGGCAGCAUGCAGACACAAUGACCUUCUGCUUUUCUCCUUGUUGAUAAUGACCCAGACACCAGCAUCCUGCCCAUCAGCCAGACCUCUAAUAACGCCAAACACUCUCCAUCUUCUGCUAAUAACCAUCAUGCAGCCGAAGGAGUCACGGACAGGCCAACGACUUCUGAAUGUGAGCGCAGCGGACAGGACGCGAGGGAAAGCAUUUUGUUUAUCGAUAAGGAACGGUGCACGACCCCAUUCUUCUUCAGCCACAAAAGCACAAAGAUAAAUGGGACUGUGGAGAACAAACUAUUACAUGAACACUGUGCAGAAGAUUUCGACAAGCAAUCCUUUUACUGUGCCUUUAGUUGCUGUGCUCCUACUUUCGCACACGUACAUGUACUGUUCCCGAGGUGGUAUUUUUCUAGCUGUAUCAUGAGUAAACUCGUUACUCUUUUCUUAAUUGGUAUAGAGAUUCCGUCCUUUGUAUGCCUCUCAGCAACAUCUCCUGGGGAAUUCUGAUUAAUUGUUGUCUACAUAAUCCUCCUCCACACUAGUGUAAACACACACACACACACAGUCAGGAGAAACCCAGUUUCACUGCAGAGCUGAACAUCAGGAGUCCAGCAUUAGUUUCACAGUUCAGCAAGGCCAAAACAAUUCCUGCACCAGUGUAGAGUUCUCACAGCUACA